rnacentral:lncRNA from 1 species
CUUGAUCUUGUUCUUUCUUUAGUUCCCUUUUUCCUUUUUUGUGUCUUCUUUCUCUCCCUUAUUCUUGCUUUCUCAACUUUAUUUCCCCACCUCUCUCUUCUCCUUCAUUCUCUUUUUUAUUUUAGUCAGUCAAGAUUUAGUCAGCAAAGGGUAUCUAUCUAGUGGAUAGAGGAGAUGCAGGAGAACAAAAGUCCAUGUGCAGAUGGGGAUAAGGAAAGGACAAGAAAAUUGAGGUCAGUUGUUACAAGAAGAAGACUUGGAUCUCAGCAAGCUGUUUUUUUUGGGUCAUGGGAUAAAAAGUCUGAGUACUGUGGUUGGACAGCUGUGUGGCACAGAGAACUAAAGCCCAUGCACAGGUGGGGAGAAGGAAUGAAGAAAAUGGUGCAAAUAUAACGGAAAGUCUGAGAGAAACUGAAAAUUCUGAUUUGUGUAAGAUGUAUUCCUGAAUGUACUUCUGAUUGUGAUAUCAAGAAUUGUGAAGAGUACUCCAGAUGUUGGGCUUACCAGAGAAGAAUGUGAUGAAAAUAAAGCAUCCUAGAUUCAUACUGUAUUCCUCUU